rnacentral:rRNA from 1 species
GAUGAACGCUGGCGGCGUGCCUAAUACAUGCAAGUCGAGCGACCGGACGAUAAGCUUUCUUCUCUGCUGUUAGCGGCUGACGGGCGAGUAACACGUGGAUCACCUUCCUCUUUUACUUGGAUAAUUUCGUGAAACCGGAUCUACUACCGGCUCAUAUUUUGUACCGCAUGGUUCAAAAGUUCAUGACGCUCUUCCUGUCUCUUAUAGCUGGAUCCGCGUUGCAUUAUCUAGUUGGUAAGGUAACGGCUUACCAAGGCUACGAUGCAUAGCCGAUCUGAGAGGAUGAUCGGCCACACUGGAACUGAGACACGGUCCAGACUCCUACGGGAGGCAGCAGUAGGGAAUAUUGGACAAUGGGCGAAAGCCUGACGGAGCAACGCCGCGUGAGUGAAGAAGGUCUUCGGGUCGUAAAACUCUGUUAUUAGGAAAGAAAAGAAGUAGAAGAAAAUGUGGACAUCUUGACGGUACCUAAUGAGAAAGCAACGGCUAACUACGUG